rnacentral:lncRNA from 1 species
ACCGCGGUCGCGGGUGGUUCCGCGCUGCCCUGAAGGUGCGGACGCUGAGCGUUACGGCUCAGCGGUGCUGGAGCCGCCGGCGUCCUGGGGCCCUCUCCAAACAGGCUGCGUCCCUGCCCACGCCGUGACUCAGCCGCUUCCGCUCCAAGAUGUAGGUCUUCCCCUCCAUGGCCACUACAACCAUCUUGGACUCAGUUGUGAACAUCUCCCUGCAGGGUCCUCAGCAGCUUCUACCUGGUUUUGCCGCAUUUCCAUCCAACCCUCACACAAUGACCAGAACAGAAAAAGACUGUGUUUGCUCUAGAGAUUAGGAGAAAGAAGAAAGAGGGAGGAACUGACAAGCAGGAAGAACAUAAAUGUCUAAAGGAACUUAUUAAUUGUCUGUCUCUUCAAACAAUUCAAUAAAUGCUAAUUGUUCAUUAUUAUUUUGUGGAGUGGAUUUUCUUUUGGGAGUGUGUUAAGGUGAUAAAUUUUGUUUUAAGUUUACACAUAGAGUAAAAUCAGAGGCUUCCCUAUAGAUGACACUAACGCAAGGGCGGCCUUGCACAAAUAACAGGAAAAUACCUAAUCCCACAAUUUCCACAAUAACAGUUAAAGAUCAAUCCUAUGAGUUCUCUCACUAACAGGUACCCUGCAGGAGUUCUAUUUUGCACAACUUCUGAAGAAAGCUGAAUGGACAGAAAAGAGAUAUAAAUCUCUCUCUUUCAAAAUUGUUUUUUGAGAAUCUGCUUUUACAGAGUUCCUGAGUAAACAGCAAGAGAACAAGCUCCAAGCCUCAACCAUAUCUAGAGGACAGUCACAUCUCCUGUGAAAGGCAGGAGACCAAGUCUUGGACUCUAACAUUCUUGCAGUUUUUGUUAUCUAUCUGCUGCCACUUCUGUUAUCAACUGACAGCCAUCACUAUUUAUUUCUGAUCAUCCCCCUUAAAAGCAGCAAGCCACUUGGCCUCACUGCUUGCACCCCCUUCUCUUUCUUUGGGAUGCCAUGCCAUCUCCCUGCUCUUUUCUCCCCACUUCUCUUCCCUUCUCUCUUUCUCUUUCUCCCCUCCUCUAAAAGGAUGAAAUAAACUUUUUUUACUUUUAUAUCUUAGUUUCUGCAUGAGAAAUCUUUCUUCACCUGUGAGUACCUACUAGCCUUUCCACCCUAAGAAAGGUCUUUUUACUCUAAGAUAAUAAAACAUUUUUUUCUAUUUUAUCUUCUAAUCCUUUCAUAAUUUUGAUGUUAAAUUUAAGGCUUUAAUACCAUGUUUCCCCCAAAAUAAGACCUACCCAUAAAAUAAGCCCUAGCAGAAUUUCUAAACAUUUGCACAAUAUAAGCCCUACUCCGAAAAUAAGACCUAGUGAUGGGCGUGGCUACGCAGCAUGUCUGCACAACCCAUGCAUUUCGUCAUGGAGUGGUAAAGAAGACAGCAGCCCUUCUCAUCUGCCCCAUGAGAGCUCUAUUGCUCGACAUGAGAGAUUGGGGCCAAUGGUUCUAAAGAAAAUAGAGUCACAAGAAGUUCAGGAUGGAAUUUGGGGUUUGGAGAGUUAUGAUG